GAUGAAGAACGCAGCGACAUGCGAUAAGUAAUGUGAAUUGCAGAAUUCAGUGAAUCAUCGAAUCUUUGAACGCACAUUGCGCCCGCCAGUAUUCUGGCGGGCAUGCCUGUCUGAGCGUCAUUUCAACCCUCAUGCCCCUAGGGCGUGGUGUUGGGGAUCGGCCAAAGCCCGCGAGGGACGGCCGGCCCCUAAAUCUAGUGGCGGACCCGUCGUGGCCUCCUCUGCGAAGUAGUGAUAUUCCGCAUCGGAGAGCGAUGAGCCCCUGCCGUUAAACCCCCAACUUUCCAAGGUUGACCUCAGAUCAGGUAGGAAUACCCGCUGAACUUAAGCAUAUCAAUAAGCGGAGGA
rnacentral:misc_RNA from 1 species